UUACAGGUGCACAAAAGCAGACCAAAGGGCCAAGCCUAAACCUUAGGAGUCAAGUGCUAAAAAUUUGCAGAAGUCUCAGCUUCACCAGAUCAAAAAUAGAGACACCACAGAGAGAAGUGUUUGUUGGAGAAUAUAAACUUGAUUCCAACACAAAGAUGAAUGCCUGGGAAGAGCUUCCUGCUUCACACCUUGUGCUUCACCGCUUCGUCCCAACUGGUGCAACGUGGCAUGAAACACACCUGGGAAGACAAGGCAUCCAUCAUUGGUGGUGUGAGACCCAGACUGUCAGGCCAGGCCAGGCCCACAUAUAACGGCAUUUGUGAUUGAU